rnacentral:rRNA from 1 species
UGCUCGACUUUAAACUUUCAAAUUCGCCAGAGUACUACAAGCCAUAGCUUAAAACUCAAAAGACUUGGCGGCGCCCUAUANCCCCCUAGAGGAGCCUGUUCUAUGAUCGAUAAUCCCCGAUAAACCUCACCACCUCUUGCUAAUACAGCCUAUAUACCACCGUCUUCAGCCCACCCCUCAAAGGAAGAAUAGCAGGCAAAAUUANUUUUAAAUUAAAAAGUCAGGUCAAGGUGUAGCAAAUGAGGCGGAAAGAAAUGGGCUACAUUUUCUAUUAUAGAAAACACAAAAUAUUUUAUGAAANUAUAAUAUGAAGGAGGAUUUAGAAGUAAAAAGGNAAAAAGAGUGUCCUUUUUAAACCGGCAAUAGAGCGCGCACACACCGCCCGUCACCCUCUUCAAAUANAUNNNNAAUAAAUUAAAUAAAUACUUAACAUAAUAAGAAGAGAUAAGUNCGUAACAUGGCAAGCUUACCGGAAGGUGAGCUUGGAUAU